GAUGAAUGCUGGCGGCGUGCCUAACACAUGCAAGUCGAGCGGCAGCGAGGGGUGCUUGCACCCUGUCGGCGAGCGGCGGACGGCUGAGUAACGCGUGGGAAUCUACCCUAAAGUGAGGGAUAACCGCCCGAAAGGGUGGCUAAUACCGCAUAUGAUCUUCGGAUUAAAGGAUUUAUCCGCUUUAGGAAGAGCCCGCGUUAGAUUAGGUAGUUGGUAGGGUAAUGGCCUACCAAGCCAACGAUCUAUAGCUGGUCUGAGAGGAUGAUCAGCCAGACUGGAACUGAGACACGGUCCAGACUCCUACGGGAGGCAGCAGUGAGGAAUCUUCCACAAUGGGCGAAAGCCUGAUGGAGCAACGCCGCGUGAAGGAUGAAGGCCUUCGGGUUGUAAACUUCUUUUAUGAGUGAAGAAUAUGACGGUAACUCAUGAAUAAGCACCGGCUAACUACGUGCCAGCAGCCGCGGUCAUACGUAGGGUGCAAGCAUUAUCCGGAGUGACUGGGCGUAAAGAGUUGCGUAGGCGGUUUAAUAAGUGAAUAGUGAAACCUGGUGGCUCAACCAUACAGACUAUUAUUCAAACUGUUAAACUCGAGAGUAGUAGAGGUAACUGGAAUUUCUAGUGUAGGAGUGAAAUCCGUAGAUAUUAGAAGGAACACCAAUGGCGUAGGCAGGUUACUGGACUAUUUCUGACGCUAAGGCACGAAAGCGUGGGGAGCGAACUGGAUUAGAUACCCAGGUAGUCCACGCCGUAAACGAUGGAUACUAGCUGUUGGAGGUAUCGACCCCUUCAGUAGCGAAGCUAACGCGUUAAGUAUCCCGCCUGUGGAGUACGGCCGCAAGGCUAAAACAUAAAGGAAUUGACGGGGACCCGCACAAGCGGUGGAUCAUGUUCUUUAAUUCGAUGAUAAACGAAGAACCUUACCAGGGUUUGACAUCCCGAGAAGAUUUACGAAAGUAGAUUGUGCCUUUUGGAACUCGGUGACAGAUGAUGCAUGGCCGUCGUCAGCUCGUGUCGUGAGAUGUUUGGUUAAGUCCAUCAACGAGCGCAACCCUUGUGAAUAGUUGAAUUUUUCUAUUCAGACUGCCCCGGCAACGGGGA
rnacentral:rRNA from 1 species